rnacentral:rRNA from 1 species
AUUUGAGUGAGUGGCGGACGGGUGAGUAACACGUGCGUAACCUGCCCUAAAGUGGGGGACAACAUUUGGAAACAGAUGCUAAUACCGCAUAAAACCUAACACCGCAUGGUGUAGGGUUGAAAGAUGGUUUCGGCUAUCACUUUAGGAUGGACCCGCGGUGCAUUAGUUAGUUGGUGAGGUAAAGGCUCACCAAGACCGUGAUGCAUAGCCGACCUGAGAGGGUAAUCGGCCACACUGGGACUGAGACACGGCCCAGACUCCUACGGGAGGCAGCAGUAGGGAAUCUUCCACAAUGGACGAAAGUCUGAUGGAGCAACGCCGCGUGAGUGAAGAAGGUUUUCGGAUCGUAAAACUCUGUUGUUGGAGAAGAAUGUAUCUGAUAGUAACUGAUCAGGUAGUGACGGUAUCCAACCAGAAAGCCACGGCUAACUACGUGCCAGCAGCCGCGGUAAUACGUAGGUGGCAAGCGUUGUCCGGAUUUAUUGGGCGUAAAGCGAGCGCAGGCGGUUUCUUAAGUCUGAUGUGAAAGCCUUCGGCCUCAACCGAAGAAGUGCAUCGGAAACUGGGAAACUUGAGUGCAGAAGAGGACAGUGGAACUCCAUGUGUAGCGGUGAAAUGCGUAGAUAUAUGGAAGAACACCAGUGGCGAAGGCGGCUGUCUGGUCUGUAACUGACGCUGAGGCUCGAAAGCAUGGGUAGCAAACAGGAUUAGAUACCCUGGUAGUCCAUGCCGUAAACGAUGAGUGCUAGGUGUUGGAGGGUUUCCGCCCUUCAGUGCCGCAGCUAACGCAUUAAGCACUCCGCCUGGGGAGUACGACCGCAAGGUUGAAACUCAAAGGAAUUGACGGGGGCCCGCACAAGCGGUGGAGCAUGUGGUUUAAUUCGAAGCAACGCGAAGAACCUUAACAGGUCUUGACAUCCUUUGACCACUCUAGAGAUAGAGCUUUCCCUUCGGGGACAAAGUGACAGGUGGUGCAUGGUUGUCGUCAGCUCGUGUCGUGAGAUGUUGGGUUAAGUCCAGCAACGAGCGCAACCCUUAUUACUAGUUGCCAGCAUUAAGUUGGGCACUCUAGUGAGACUGCCGGUGACAAACCGGAGGAAGGUGGGGACGACGUCAAAUCAUCAUGCCCCUUAUGACCUGGGCUACACACGUGCUACAAUGGAUGGUACAACGAGUUGCGAGACCGCGAGGUUUAGCUAAUCUCUUAAAACCAUUCUCAGUUCGGAUUGUAGGCUGCAACUCGCCUACAUGAAGCCGGAAUCGCUAGUAAUCACGGAUCAGCAUGCCGCGGUGAAUACGUUCCCG